rnacentral:rRNA from 1 species
CCUACGGGGCGCAGCAGUGGGGAAUAUUGGACGAUGGGCGAAAGCCUGAUCCAGCCAUGCCGCGUGUGUGAAGAAGGCCUUCGGGUUGUAAAGCACUUUCAGUGGGGAAGAAAGCCUUGGGGCUAAUACCCUCGAGGAAGGACAUCACCCACAGAAGAAGCACCGGCUAACUCCGUGCCAGCAGCCGCGGUAAUACGGAGGGUGCGAGCGUUAAUCGGAAUUACUGGGCGUAAAGCGCGCGUAGGCGGUCUGAUAAGCCGGUUGUGAAAGCCCCGGGCUCAACCUGGGAACGGCAUCCGGAACUGUCAGGCUAGAGUGCAGGAGAGGAAGGUAGAAUUCCCGGUGUAGCGGUGAAAUGCGUAGAGAUCGGGAGGAAUACCAGUGGCGAAGGCGGCCUUCUGGACUGACACUGACGCUGAGGUGCGAAAGCGUGGGUAGCAAACAGGAUUAGAUACCCCUGUAGUC